AACGUAGGUACCGAGCGUUAUCCGGAUUUACUGGGCGUAAAGCGUGUUCAGGCGGCCUGGCAAGUCGGGCAUGAAAUCUCUCGGCUCAACCGAGAGAGGCUGUCCGAUACUGCUGGGCUUGAGGACGGUAGAGGGUGGUGGAAUUCCGCGUGUAGUGGUGAAAUGCGUAGAUAUGCGGAGGAACACCAGUGGCGAAGGCGCUGCUCUGGGCCGAAACUGACGCUGAGGAGCGAAAGCGUGGGUAGCAAACAGG
rnacentral:rRNA from 1 species